AUCAGUUGGAUAUCUGUCAUCAUCAGUUUGUACAGAGAGUCAUCGGCGGCUAAAGGCUGAACUAGAGCAGAGCCCGGCUCUCGGCAGCCGGCAGGCAUGAGCCCUCCCGACAGAAACCGAGCCCAAACCUGCUGAUGCGCGGUGCUGCCGUUCCUGGGGCUUCAAUGGUGCAGAAGCAUUUGGAUGCAAGUAGAUGUGUUUCCUGUUCAAACAGAAGUGAAUCACUGAGAUGCCUGAACAUAAGAGAUAACCAAGGCUUUGCACAUAUCACUUACUUGUUCACAGAGAAGCUCAUCAAAGCACAGAAAUGACCAAGGCCAAAACAAAAAAUGAAUAAUUUCACAAGUAAGAGGUCUGCUAGAGGCUGUCUCCAUGGAAGGCACGCACAGCCCCUGCCUUGCAUACAGGUGGCCAACAGCCACCUUCCUUGGGAGCCCUUUCAGACACACGACAUGGAGAGGAAGCAGAGGGAACAUUAUUUCUGUACACACUCCGGUCUUCUGUUGCCAAUUGGCGGGUCUCUGUGGAUGUUGGUGUUUGAGCCUGGAAACCUUGGGGCUCAAUGGAAUAACAUCAAAUGGAAGGUGAAAAAUAGAACUGGCUUGCCUAUUUCUGAGGAGGCAGUCAGCUGGAAGAGGAAAGUGAUACAACUCAAACUGGGGAAAUUAAGGAUAAUCUAAUCUUUCAGUACACACACUUGCCUCCUUCAAAAGAAACACAAUGACAAUAUUACUGAAACAUGGAAGACUUUAAUAAGAACAUAUUAAAAGAAUUAACGCAUGGAAAAUAAAUAAUAAAAGCACAUUAAGCAGCAGUCCAGGGAAAUGUUGUUGACAUUGUUGUCAAAUAUUCUAAUAUAAAGGUUUUGGUAGUUCUCCCAACAAAAUAUAAAUGAAACAAUAAGUCCUUGAUUAACAGGAUCAAAAUAUGGUUUAAAAAGAAAAAAAAGAAAUUAAAAAAAACCUUGAAAGCUCCAUCUGGAGGAUUUUCAGCUGUGUGUUCGUCCCUGCUACACCAGCCCUGCAGCUCAUGUCCUUCACACAAAGACAGCAAGAAGAGUUCUAACCCAAUGGUGUACUGACGUUUCUGCAAGAUUGGGUUACAGCUUUGUUUUCUUCCACCCAUCAGUCAGAGGAUUUUCAUGUCUCCACUGACAUGCCAAGCCACAGGACUGUAGAGGGUUGGAGCAGCACUGAAGGACUUUCAUCAUUGGAGGACCUUCAGCAUGUGUUGAGAGCAACCUCCUGCACACCGAGAGAUUGCAACCUUCUGCAAGCUGCGGCCAAGGUACUGCUUUGCAUGGCACAAGAUACACAACAACAACAAU